rnacentral:rRNA from 1 species
GACGAACGCUGGCGGCGUGCCUAACACAUGCAAGUCGAACGAGCGAGAGAGAGCUUGCUUUCUCAAGCGAGUGGCGCACGGGUGAGUAACGCGUGAGGAACCUGCCUCAAAGAGGGGGACAACAGUUGGAAACGACUGCUCAUACCGCAUAAGCCCACAGGUCGGCAUCGACCAGAGGGAAAAGGAGCAAUCCGCUUUGAGAUGGCCUCGCGUCCGAUUCGCUAGAUGGUGAGGUAACGGUCCACCAAGGCAACGACCGGUAGCCGGAAUGAGAGGUUGAACCGCCACACUGGGAGUGAGACACGGCCGAGACUCCUACGCGAAGCAGCAGUGGGGGAUAUUGCACAAUGGGGGAAACCCUGAUGCAGCGCCGACGCGUGGAGGAAGAAGGUCUGCGGAUUGUAAACUCCUGGUGUUGAGGAAGAUAAUGACGGUACUCAACAAGGAAGUGACGGCUAACUACGUG